GGCUAGGUGACAGAGGGAGACUGCAUCUCAAAAAAAAAAAAUCUUCAUCUGGUGGAAUUCAUCAAUAUUUUCUUUGUUCACUGUCUUCAUUAGACAUUGAUGUGUAUAGAAUGACAUGUUAACUGCUCAAUGAUAAUAGACAAUGAUUAUUGUCAUAAUAAUAAAAAUCAUUUCAGAGGGCCUCAUUUUACUUGCAAAACAUGGGCUUUCGGGAGGAGCACAAUGAAGUGGAUACCUCCCUAGAGUGUAAUCUAUGAGUAUGUACUGGCAGGAGAAAAAGAGGAAGAAGAGAGGGACAGUUUCCUUCCUCUGUCAAGUCAUGACAGCUGUCUCAGAGCACAACCCACACUUAAUGUGGACGCAGAAAAUGGAUUUCUUAGGCUAUCUUUCAAAGAAAAUCCCCCUGGCUGGUGGUAUCAUCUGCUCUGCCAGUGAUGCCCAUAAAAUGAUUCCAAGGCACUACAUUGCUCUUAAGUCUCUGUCAACUACCAAAGAGUUAUGUUUGAUUAAUGGUUUAUGUUUCAGUAUUAGUCACACUAGGCUCUGAGCUACUCGAAGGCAUGUAACCCCAGGUUCUGGAACCUUGUAAUAUGCAGAUGCAAAUACUUGCUAGAUGAACAUUUGAAAAAAGUAUGUUUUAACAGUUUUCGAGUAUUUUGGCACUUGUUUUGAAAUGUAUGGAGUGGAAAGAAGUAGGGUGUUUGCAUUCUAGUCCAGGUCCAAGCACCAAGGGGUUGACUAAUCUUAGGUAACUGAUUUUUUUGUGUGUGUGCCUCAGUUUCCUCAUUUGUUAAAAGGGCAUUAGGCAAAAUGAUCUCAGAGGUACUUUUCAGUGAGAAUUCUAUGAUUAUAGAUUAUAAAUUAAAUGUCCAGUUAAUUGGGUUAUCCUGUAUUUUUAAAACUGUGUUUAAAAAGAGAAUAGAUUAUAAAAGAAACCAUCAACCUUUUUAUAGCUUCAAAGGUAUUGCUUUAAUUUGGAUUUACUGUUCUCAUGAUUUUCAAUACAAUGCACUUUACAAUAUAAUAGAAUUCAUAUUACAAAUAUAAGUACAUUGAAAUCAAUGUUGGACGAUUAAGAACGAGAAGACAAAAUAGGCUUUCUAUCUAGAGCUGUGCUUGCUGUCCACUAUGGCAGUGAAACGUGGCUAGUCUGAAUUAAGAUGAGCUAUAAGUGCUAAAUACUAAUUGGAUUUUGAAGGUUAUGGAAAAGAAUCUCAUUAGUGAUUUGAUAUUGAUUUACAUAUUGAAAUAAUUAUGUCUAAAUAUAUCUUAAAAAUUAAUUUUUCCUGCUUUUCUUUUUAAAAUGUGGCUACCAAAAAUUACAAUUACAGAUGUAGGUCAUAUGUGUUUCUGUUACUAUACAUUCAUCACAUAAGGAGACAUUUCCAUCAACCACUGUGGUCCCCUAAGAUGAUAAUGGAGCUGAAAAAUUCCUAAUACCUACUGAUGUGGUAGCCAACCAACACAUUACCUUUUCUGUGUUUAGAUACACACAUAUCAUGAUGCUACAACUGCCUACAGUAUUCAGUAGAAAAUACACUGUAUCAGGUGUGUAGCACAGGUGUGUAGUAGCUUUGUGUAACUAAUGUGUGCACAAGAAGGAAAUCGUGAUAAUGUCGCUGCUCGUACUGCCUUGCCCUGCCUUGUCCUUCUUUUCUGGCCCGAGGCCCCAGUACUGCACAGUACAAGAGAUUCCAGGCACCGGGGAUACUGCCAGAUGCUUUCACCAUCCCCGCCGGCGGCGCUGCCACCUCCGCGGUCCCGCUGAGGGCCCGGGCCCAGGUCAGGCGGCAGGGCAGCCACGGCGCGCCACCACGAAUCCCGCUAGCCGGGGAGGUCGGGCCGGACCACGGGGGCCGUACGAGGGCUGGGUCCUAAGGGCCGGAGGCGAGGUGAUUGCCCACAGUCAGUAUCAAAAGGCCAAAAGAAUUUCCAUCUUUCUGAGCAUGCAAGAUGAAAUUGAGACAGAAGAGAUCAUCAAGGACAUUUUCCGGCGCGGCAAAAUCUGCUUCAUCCCUCGGUACCAGUUCCAGAGCAGUCACAUGGAUAUGGUGAGAAUAGAAUCACCAGAGGAGAUUUCUUCACUUCCCAAAACGUCCUGGAAUAUUCCUCAGCCUGGUGAGGGUGACAUUCGGGAGGAGGCCUUGUCCACAGGUAUAGAAGACAGAACUGAACUUCAAGCCUGAUGGUGCUCUGGCAACAGAAAGAGGACACGAGGGACUAAAGUCCAAAUGCACAGGCCACUGUCAAUCCUAAGAGGGACAAAUGGGCUGGACGGGGACAGGGAGGAAAGACAAAGGGGGACUGGAUCUCAUCUUCAUGCCAGGCCUUGGGUUUGACAAACAUGGCAACCGACUGGGAAGGGGCAAGGGCUACUAUGAUGCCUACCUGAAGCGCUGUUUGCAGCAUCAGGAAGUGAAGCCCUACACCCUGGCGCUGGCUUUCAAAGAACAGAUUUGCCUCCAGGUCCCAGUGAAUGAAAAUGACAUGAAGGUAGAUGAAGUCCUUUACGAAGACUCCUCAGCAUCUUAAAUCUGGAUAAUUACAGCCAAAUAAUUAGUGUUUUAUACGAGAGUAAAGCAAAUUAUGUCUAUUUUUCCCUUGUCAAAAAUUAAAAUUGUAAUUAUAAAAUACCUUAUAUAAAACUGUCUUUAAAAACAAAUAGAAGUGUGAAUAGUAGACUAUUAAUGAAAAUGGAGGCUGUCAUCCUAAGAUUUUCAGCUUAA